rnacentral:rRNA from 1 species
AGUUUGAUCCUGGCUCAGGAUGAACGCUAGCUACAGGCUUAACACAUGCAAGUCGAGGGGAAACGAUAGAGAAAGCUUGCUUUUUCUAGGCGUCGACCGGCGCACGGGUGAGUAACGCGUAUCCAACCUGCCCACCACUUGGGAAUAACCUUGCGAAAGUAAGACUAAUACCCAAUGAUAUCUCUAGAAGACAUCUGAAGGAGAUUAAAGAUUUAUCGGUGAUGGAUGGGGAUGCGUCUGAUUAGCUUGUUGGCGGGGUAACGGCCCACCAAGGCGACGAUCAGUAGGGGUUCUGAGAGGAAGGUCCCCCACAUUGGAACUGAGACACGGUCCAAACUCCUACGGGAGGCAGCAGUGAGGAAUAUUGGUCAAUGGGCGAGAGCCUGAAUCAGCCAAGUAGCGUGCAGGAAGACGGCCCUAUGGGUUGUAAACUGCUUUUAUAAGGGAAUAAAGUGAGUCUCGUGAGACUUUUUGCAUGUACCUUAUGAAUAAGGACCGGCUAAUUCCGUGCCAGCAGCCGCGGUAAUACGGAAGGUCCGGGCGUUAUCCGGAUUUAUUGGGUUUAAAGGGAGCGUAGGCCGGAGAUUAAGCGUGUUGUGAAAUGUAGACGCUCAACGUCUGCACUGCAGCGCGAACUGGUUUCCUUGAGUACGCACAAAGUGGGCGGAAUUCGUGGUGUAGCGGUGAAAUGCUUAGAUAUCACGAAGAACUCCGAUUGCGAAGGCAGCUCACUGGAGCGCAACUGACGCUGAAGCUCGAAAGUGCGGGUAUCGAACAGGAUUAGAUACCCUGGUAGUCCGCACGGUAAACGAUGGAUGCCCGCUGUUGGUCUGAAUAGGUCAGCGGCCAAGCGAAAGCAUUAAGCAUCCCACCUGGGGAGUACGCCGGCAACGGUGAAACUCAAAGGAAUUGACG